UACGUAGGGGGCUAGCGUUGUCCGGAAUCAUUGGGCGUAAAGCGCGUGUAGGCGGUUCGGUAAGUCCGCUGUGAAAGUCGGGGGCUCAACCCUCGAAUGCCGGUGGAUACUGUCGGACUAGAGUACGGAAGAGGCGAGUGGAAUUCCUGGUGUAGCGGUGAAAUGCGCAGAUAUCAGGAGGAACACCGGUGGCGAAGGCGGGUCUCUGGGCCGAUACUGACGCUGAGGAGCGAAAGCGUGGGGAGCAAACAGG
rnacentral:rRNA from 1 species